GAGUAAUCUUACUUAUUACUCCAUUUUGAUGUUGAACUUUUUUUAUUUGUGAAUUGGUCCUUUAAAUUUUUAAUGUUUUUAUUUCUUACUUAAAUAAUAUUUUAAAACGAUACAAUAACAUAAAUAAACAAGAUAUUCCAUUAUUUAAUAAUUUUACAUAAAAAUAUAUACUAUAAUCAAAAAAUAAUAAUAUAAAAUAAAGAUAACAUAAAAGGAUCUAUAGUUGUGUUUCGCUAUUGUGAAAAGACAUGUUUGGUUCUGGAAAAAAAAUUUGCUACAUGACAUCAAGACUACAUGUAUAAUUUUACAUAACAUGAUAAUUAAGGAUGAACGUGAAUUUGAUGCACCAACUAAACUUGGAAGAGAAGCUACACUUCCAUAUAUCAAAAUUACAUAAGAUGAAAAUGUAUGAUUUCAAAAUUUUCUUCGAUUUAGGAAUAUCAAAGAUAAAGAAGCUUAUGUUUCAUUACGAAAUGUAUUAGUUGAUCAUUGUGGGAAAAAUAUUCUAAUGCCACUAUUAAACCAACUUAUAUACUGUCUUUUAUUUUAUUUUUAUGAUUUUUUGUAUUUUUUAAUAAUAACUGUUUAAUUUUAAAUAAUUUUUUAAGGAAUUUUUGUAAACAUAAAUUAGUUGGGGUUAAUUAGUAAUUUUUUAUAAAUAUAAAGUAAUAUUAACAAUUAUUAAUAAAAUAUAUUAUUUUUGGAGUAGAAAAUAGAGUAAUACAUUGGAGUAAAACUUUACUUCAUUUUGGUGUUGCACCAUUUUAGAGUAAAAUAUGGAGUAAUACAUUGGAGAUGCUCUAAGACCACCGUUGUCAACAAAAAAAAAAGCAAAAAAAAGAUGUCUAAAACCACCAUAUCAUAAAAGCUUUAAACAUUGAUAUGAUGACUCUAAAUAUAGUGAAUGUUUGUGUGGCAUUUGAUUCACCAUUAAACAAUAAAAGUACAUUGUUUUAAAAAUAUUGUAAAUCGCACCUCUAAAAAUAUCUAGCUGUAUACAUGUUCACUCUAAAUAUUUCAUUUAUAAGAUUUUUAGACCAUAAUAUCUAGCUGGAAAGUAUGCUUCAGCAUUCAAACUGUCAAAAUUUUAGAACAGAUUGCAAGGACCUGAUUACGAUGAUAAAAGACUCCAAAGCAUGGCCAAACUUUUCAACGGAGCUGGAAGUCAUUCAAAUCAUCCUGAUGUGUUAUUCGGAUUUCAAGAUCAUCUACGUGCCAAGAACGCAGAAUGAGAUUGAUGAUUCUUUAGUUAGGAAUGUUCGAUCUUUUCACAGAUUACUUUGUUUUAUUGUUUGUUUUAUUCCAGUCUGGUUACCCAGACCACCUCAUGUUUGAGUAAUAGAAUAGCCGUUUGUUGCCAAAAAAAAAAACAGAUUUUGAAAUCCGGAUUUGAUCAACAAUUUUACCAUUUUAAUUUUACCUUUUAAUUAACGUAUAAUAUAAGCGCAUUUAAACACACAAGAAAAACUUUCCAGCUUAAAUGACGCAGAUCGGUGACCCAACAAAAAACGAAAGAGGUCCACAGAGCAUUUUAAACACCAGUCAAAAGCUUUUGUUGACAUAUAAUAUAUACUAUCAAUCAUCAUAUGUGUAUAAUGUAUUACACCGCGAAACCCCAUCUUCUUAUAAAUUUCGUUUUGCCAAGUUUACUUUAUCACAUAUCGGAAUCAACUUUUGUUUUUAUUAAUAUACAUACUAGUAUUAUUUUGUUAUAAGAGCAAUUAAUGUUGGUUGGUGGAGACAAAGAGGAUCUUGGAGAUAAAUAUGGUAAAGAAGUAAGUAGUAAUAGAAGGUGACUUCACGCGUGUGCCAAGGAGAUGUUUGUUGUCCUCUGGGGGACACAUUUUAGCCUAAAUUAAGAUGCUCUUAAGUGACCAAGUCAGGACCACCUAAGCGGGAAGAUAGUCUUAAUUCGAACAAUGGAGUGUUGUUUAUUUUGGAGAGUUAGAAUUGCAUGUGUCAAAAACUGGCUUCGACCCUUGGCUCAAGAAAAUAUAUAUGUUUCAGAGGGGUUUGAAAAGACCAAUUACAAGAUACCUUUACACAAAAAGAUAAUAGACACGAAAAACGAUCAGAAGAUGUUAACAAUUACAGUACAUAUUUCGUCCACUCAACUUCGAGUCUAAAGAGAAGUACACAUUACUCGUCUGUUCUUAACCACGUUCUAACUAUCCGCAUGCAGCGACGUAGACGGAGAUUAUAGUGUAAUGGUGUAAUUACAAUAUAUUCCCGUAGUAUUUGUUCUUAAACAAAAGAAAUAAAGUCCUAGUCUUGUUAAGAACACAAAAAGUAGAUUUGAAAUAUGUUCUAUAAGCACAUAAUGGUAUGCAUUUAUUACUAUAUAUUUAGAUACACUGAUACAUGCAAUGAUGGAGUACGGCGGAUCCCUGUAAAAAAGAAUCUAAAAAGAUGAUAGUAACAAGCUGGCAAGGUGGAAAACUUGACACAAUAAUUUUGGUUCAGAAAAAAUAAUAAAUAACACCAUCAGAAUUCAGUACCGGAAUAUGGAUAAUAAGUUCCUUACUAUUAUAAUUGAUUUCCAACAACAAUUUUUAGACCAUAACAUAACAUUUUACUAAUUUAGUAAAUAAGUUGACCCAACAACAUUAUAUGUUUACAAACUUACAAUUGCUAACUUUGAUCAAUAAUAUUUAAAUCAUUCAAAAUGGACAUCCAAAUAAUCGAUUUGACAAAGAAAAAAAUAAUAUAUAUAUAUAUAUAUAUAUUAUUUUUUGUGAAAUCUCGGAUAAUCUCUAAAAUAUGUGAAUCUUAGUCUUAUUUUUGGCAUAUGGCAAAAUUAGAUGUUUGAUGGGUCUACCAUGUUGCUUGUUGUGUGUUCAAAGUGCAUAAAGCUAUAAAAUCCACUCUGUUUCUCAGUGUCUUUGUGAAAAGAAAAACAACUUCACGUGAACGAUGUGAACAUUUUUCUUGUUUUCAUAUAACUAUAGAAUCUUUUGACUUUAAUAGAUUAUAAAGUCUUAAAGAUGAACUAAACAAAAUCUCAAAUUUAUGCAAAACCACGACUUAUCUAUUUGUCUAUUAGUUUUUAAGACAAUCAAACAUGUCUGCCCAGAUGGGUUAUGUUUAAAAACAUGGUUCUUGUGAAUCCAAUUCCGAUUUUAGUUGCCUCAAAAGAAUGAGAUUCAUCAUGACAAUGGGUCACCUGAUAACAUAUAAAAAAUGCCCUUUUAUUUUUCAGAUUCAGGCUAUUGAGGGUCCAGAAACCAAAGAUUUUCCCAGCUAGAAAAUAGAUCAACAUUAUGCAUUACUCUUUAAAACACAUUUUCACUUUCUUUACAUCCUAAAGCACAUCUUGCUUGUUGGGCACUUUUACGGACUCCAAAAGACUAUUUGGACAAAAUUUCCCUCCUGUCUAACCAAAAAAAAAAGAAAAAUCAAAUAUUGUUGGGUUUGUUGAUAGUUAGGAUAAAUAGUUAGCUAAAAGAGACAAUCAAAAUAUGGUUGAGGUUUGUUUUACUUCUUGAAAAAAGAAAUAUAGAGACCCAACCAGAAAACAAAAAAAUAGUUUAGUUAGAUAUUUCUUAUGUCAUUAUUUUUCAUCCCCUUGUUUUUAUAUUAGCUUUUUCUCAAAAUUGAUGUUAAUUUGAAUAUAAUAUUUAUAAUAAAUUACAGAUCUUUUUCUCUAUAUUUUAACUUGCAUUUUCGUAUAUAUAUUUUAUAUAUUUAACAUUUAUAAAAAAUAAAUGUAUCCAUGUUGAAAAGUGUGAACGAACAAAAUGCGGACAUAUAUAAAGGAAAAACAAUGUUGAAAAAAUGUAGAUUUGGAACGUGAAAUAAUUUGUCUUUGGUAAAUUCACAGCAAAUAGCUGAGUUGGUACCUAAAAUAAAAUCAGCAAAAAGUGAGUUCAUAUGUGGAUAGUAUGAUAAAUAUUAAUAUUGUAGAUAUGAACGGAAAAACUAUGACGGACGAGUUGUGGAUAUCAGAUUUGUAGACAUAUAUUUUGUUAUUUUAAUGAGUAAGUUAACUCUUUUGUAUCAUAAAUAAGUUGUGGAUAUCAGAUUUGUGGAUAUAUAUCUUGCUACUUUACCGAGUAAAUUAGUGUUUUUGUUUUAGUUUUGCCCUUGGAUGAGAGGGUUGUGUACAUGAUUUCGUGGACAAAAUUUCUAAAAAAAAAGAUUGAUAAUGAUAACUAAUUUAAUCUAAGUUAAAGGGAAAAGAAAACAAAAUCUAAAAGUUUUCUAUGUUGGUAACUGAUAUCUCUCACUAUUUUAGUGAGUUUUAUCAAUUAUUUUAGCUUAUUUAGAUCAUUUUAGAAUGUAUUUAGAAAUUUUGAAUGCAUAUAUUUGUUGUUCAUUUGUAUUUGAAAAUUUUGUAGUGCACAAUUAGAAGUUUGGGGGUGUAAAUCAAGAAGAUUGUUCCAGACCUGGGACUUCAUUAUCACCUUGUGCUAAUAAGAAAAUCAGGAUGAAUUUGCUUACAUAUGUCUUGUGUUCACCAGGUUUUUGAUCUUAUGAGAAAACUCGGUUGCGGCUGAGAAAUCACAGAAUGAAGCUGUUCAAGGACAUUGUGAGUAACUUCUUGGAGAAUUGGUUAAUGCCUACAUAUUAUGGAGUAUGUAUUGUUACUAUUGUACAAGAUCUCUUAAAGUUACCAUAUAAAUUUAAGAGAUCUUGUACAAUACCUAUUUUUAUUGAUAAAUCACACAUUCUUUUUGUGUGCAUUAUUUACAUUUUAUGUAUUCAAAAAAUUGAUUUUUGAUGAACAUUAACAAUGAAACUCUCCAUUUCUUAUAUCUAUUUGUGAUUUUUAUUAAUUUAUAUGUUGCUAUUUUAGUUGUGAUUAGUUGUGAUAUGUCAUUACCCAUAAUUCCUUAUAUAAAAGACUAAGAGUUGCGAUAAUUGACAACCAAACAUUGCUGGUUAAAAUGACUAACACCAAAAAUUGCAAAAACUCAUUACUAAAUGCUAUAAUUACCAAUAAUUACAGGUUUAUAACAAAUGAUUGCAAUAUCCCAUCACCAAAAGAUGCAAUCACGAACAAUUGCUUUGUUUCAUUUAAUCAGUUGCAGUUUUUCAUUUAGGUAAAUGUAGUAGUUCACUUAAAUGAUUUAAAAGAGUCACUUAAAAUCUCUGAGAAUUUUUUUCGUUUAAGUGUGUAAUUAAAGAUUCAAUAAUAAAUAACACACAUAUUAAACUCAAGCAUAAAUUUAAAUGUGCAUAAAUAAACAUAAUUGUUUUGGUUUCACCAAAAGAUGCAAUCACGAACAAUUGCUUUGUUUCAUUUAAUCAGUUGCAGUUUUUCAUUUAGGUAAAUGUAGUAGUUCACUUAAAUGAUUUAAAAGAGUCACUUAAAAUCUCUGACAAUUUUUUUUCGUUUAAGUGUGUAAUUAAAGAUUCAAUAAUAAAUAACACACAUAUUAAACUCAAGCAUAAAUUUAAAUGUGCAUAAAUAAACAUAAUUGUUUUGGUUUCUCUUUUGUUAAUACUUAUAUAUUAAUAAAUAAAGUUAUUUAAAUAUGUUUGAACGUUUUUAUCAGAAAUCCGAAAAACAAACCAGCCUAAAAUGCACCAAAACAUCUUAUAUAUAUAAUAGUACGAAAUAAUUAAAUUAUCCAACAAAUCAAAUUAUCCAAAUAUUUUAAAUACAUUUAAGAUUAUUUUAAAAUGUAUAUAAAUAGAUAUGAAAAACUCAUUAAAACCUAUGCAGUUUUUAGAAUGAGUAUAACCAUUUUUAGACAUUUUUAUAACCUAUUAAAUAUCUAUGUAAUUUUUAGAUUAUAACCUAUUAAAUAUCUAUGUACUUUUUAGAAUAAAAAGACACAUCUUCACUCUUCAGACAUGAAAAAUGUAUUUAAUAGAAUCCAAUUCUGAUAUUAGCUGCCUCAAAAGAAAGAGACUCAUCAUGACAAUGGGUCACAUGAAAACAUAUAAAAAGGCCCUUUAAAAUUUUCAAGCAAUCAAAUAUUUUCCCAGCAAGAAAGUAGACCAACAUUAUACAUAUAUGGAUAUAAGAUAUAUAAAAUAUUCACACUUAAGAGUUGGCAAGAUCAUUGCUACACCAUUAAACUAGCUACUUUCUUUAGACGACAAAAAAAAAAACUAAGCUACUU